CUUCUCUUUCUUGUUACCUCUAGUGAAAAUGUAAGCUUACUCAUAUGAAAACACACCAAUAUAAAAGUGCUUUCUUUGUUGGUCUUUUUGGCGAGUUUUGGCUCUUUAGAGAUGAAGUCUUUUGACGGCAAACUUUUUUGCUUGGAAUUGCUGGAAAUUGAGAAUUGAAAGAAGCUUCAACUCAUCGAUUUUGAAUUUUACUUAAUUUCAGCCAUGAUUUCAUCAACCAUUCGAUUCGACUAAUCAUACAACUCUAUCAGCGCCAAUACCGAUCUUCCCAUCACAAUCUUACGACAGAGAUGCCUCCUCAUCCACCGGGACCUCACAGGAUUGAAGAUCCAAUGUAUCUUGAAAGAUAUGGAAUCAUGCGAUCAGGGUGAAGUAAUAUCCAUCAAACGUCAAAUUUCCAAUCUUUAGAUCACUUUGAGACACUCACCUGAACAUGUAAAAUCAAACUAUUACGAUAAUACAAUGUGUCUUCCUAUCAAAUGAGUUCUCGAUACUUUGAACUUUUAGCAACACAACAGGAAAGAGUUCUUGACGACGAAAAGCCAAUCAAUCUUCUCAACAUCAGUAUCAUCACCUCAUCAAUCUAACAAAAUUAUUCAAUCAAAAAAGCACCGAUUUUUGAACCGACGCUAUUCAAUUGUCCAGCAGUUCCUGCACCGAACAAAGAUUACAAAUGUUACAAGCCUACUGAACCUGAAACUAAGGUGGUCUCAAAUAUUAGAUCUAAGCAGCGAGCUAGGGACCAACAUCUAGAGCAUCGGUUGAAACAAGUGAAGAUUGAUCCGAUGAAGAGGAAUCUGAAUUGAAUAAAGCGAGAAAUCGAUUGAAAUAUAUGAUAACCUCAGGACCGCCAUUGAAACUGGAACAAAACCAGAGAAAAUUUAUUUUCUCGGUCUUUCUCGUUCUACAUCUUAAUCUACCUCUCAUCGAUUUUGAAUGUUACUAAAUUUCAGUCAUGUUUUCAGUAAACAUAAUUCAAAACUUCAGAACGAUACUUAGAGUGUUCAGAAUUAGCCAUCUAUUAAUUGUUUUUCAUAAUUGAUAGUUCGUUGAAUGCAUCUAAAUUCAGGAAAACAACUAUAAACUACUCUAAUUAUUUUGAAGACUUUGCUCGUAACAGAUCAAAAAAUUCCUCAAAUUUUGCUCAAGGUAAACCAGUUGAUUAUACAGAAAAUUAACUUUCUUACAUCAGUGAAUUUUUAUAUCAAUGUUUCAGUCCGUCAAAAAUGUGUGGUUUGGUAUUAAGAAGAAAAGCUGAACCAAAGACUGCUUCAAUGCUUAUUUUUAUGAAUCUUAUUCAACAAUUUUUCUCGUAAAUUCAACAAUUAUUCAAUAAUCUGGUUAAUUAAUAAGCUGUUACCAAUGAUCAUGAGUCAAGAUAGAAAAAAAAACAGCAAAGGCGGAUGAGUCAAAGACAAAAAAGCGAAUCGACUUUGAGGAUAAUGAAUUUCGUAGUUUUGAUUAGCCAUCAGCCAACACCGAGCCAUUGUUUUAUCUUUAUUCAUCUGUUGUAUUCUGACAAUCAUUUUCUAUUUCGAAUACAACCUGAAAUUAAAUCAUUAAACCAUUAAA